rnacentral:lncRNA from 1 species
ACUACAAGUUCUAAGUCAUUUAUGGUUAUAUACCAAACACAAUAAAAAACACAGUUUAACACUGCUGAAAUGUUACUGUUGACACUUUCAGUACAAGUGGAACAUCAGCAAUAAUAAUCAUAGCACCUCUCGCUGAUGUUUGAAUUUGACAUUAAUUUUAUCAGUUAUUGUUGCUAGUAGUUCUAGCGGCUGUUUUAUAAACUAUUCACUUGCAAGCAUGUCAUCUAUUAUAUAGCAUAUACCUUAUAUUACAAAAAAUUUCAUUUCUGUCAAACUUUUCAUGGCCCUUUGCACUAGUGCACACCUCCAAGUUUAGAAAUCACUGCCAUAGAGGAAUCAUGAAAAAUGAAGAAAGUAUGUUUCACAAAUCCAUAAUCAAAAUUAUAUUAAAUCUUAGGAGAAGUGAGAAAGUUAAAUUGGUAUUAAUGUUAUACAAACAAAAAAUACAGGCAGUACUUGAGUUAUUAGUUCUUUUUGUUAACAUGUUCUCAAGUUUGAGAGAUUUUUUCAAAUGUAAAACUAUCAAAAAAAAAAAAAAAUAAAAAAUAAAGAAAUUAGUAAAAAGCAUUUUAAACCAUAUAGAUAGAUAUAAAAUACAAUA